UACGUAGGGCGCAAGCGUUGUCCGGAAUUAUUGGGCGUAAAGAGCUCGUAGGCGGUUUGUCGCGUCUGUCGUGAAAGCUUGGGGCUUAACCCUAAGUCUGCGGUGGAUACGGGCAGGCUAGAGGCAGGUAGGGGAGAACGGAAUUCCCGGUGUAGCGGUGAAAUGCGCAGAUAUCGGGAGGAACACCGGUGGCGAAGGCGGGUCUCUGGACAGUUCCUGACGCUGAGGCACGAAGGUCAGGGGAGCAAACGGG
rnacentral:rRNA from 1 species